UCUCUACGCUGUUGUGUCAGCACAACCCGUUCUGUCUCGUGAGUGCAGAGCGUAUGUCUCAGUGAAAGGGGAUUGGUGUUACUUUGUUGAAUUUCAUCCUCAGCCGUGUACUCCCCUAUUCCUGGAUGGUGGCUCCUGUGCAGCGGGUCGGAUGGUGCCCCAGCAUCCCCGUCUGCUCCCAUACAACUGUCCCUUGGCAGUAAUUCCCAUUGCAGUCCACUCCUCUUUGAGGUGUCAGCUGCCUCCUUGAUUUCAAAGAUCUUUUAUCUCUCGUUCUGCAGCCCCACAGCUCCAGGUAUUUGUUUUCAAACUCCUUGGGGAUACCCACCUACGAGGACAAGCUCAGCCUCCCUCUUUGGGAAGCUUUGAGCACCUCGAUGGAGCCAAACUCCCAGUUCUUUUGGAUGGAGGCGAGCUGGCUGGUGGGACACUGGGCUGCAAAGGAAGGAACGAGGAUGAGAGUUCAUGUGGUUCCUCUCCCACCUCCCUGCUCUGCAAGGACCCUGAUCUCCCUUCAUAAAUGCAUUAUUUACUGCUAUUGUAAACUACUGUUGCUGCCAAAACCACCUCCUCUCCCCCCCUUUUCUUGCCGGCUGUACUGUUAUAGGCUGUGGUGCCCAGAGCUCUGGGUUGUCUCCUUGCCUGAGCCUUCUGGCAGUCGUUGAGGUGUAACUUGCUCAGAGACGCAGUGCCUGCAGCCGAAAUGGCAGCCAUUGGCUGGCAAGGCUCAUCCUGGGCAGUGUCCCAGAGUGAUUCCCUGUUGUGGUUGGUUUGGAGGUUGUUUUCUAUCCUCUCCUGGGAUGUGCUGUAAUGGAAAGUGUGUCUGCUGGCUUUGCUCCAUCCAAAGUCAGCUGUUGGGGCUUGGGAAGUUCAGUCUGAUUCCAUGACAUCUCUGGAGAGGGAACUUCAUCGUUAGCAGAGGUUUGCUACCUGGCAUCCUCAGGAACUGCCUCAGCUCCAAGACUCAGGAUUCUUAUUAGCGGUGGAUUGAAACCCCUGGAAGUCCCUUUUUCUGAGUGCUUUUUGUCUGUGCACUCAGAAGAUGCCCAAAGCAGAGGUGAUUAUUCUUUACUGGGAAACUAAACUGACAAGGCUUGAAUGCUUUUUUCUUUGGUGUUUAGAAAGGGGGACACCAUGGAUGAACACAAGUCCCUCCUGCAGGAUGCUGGGGUCUGUUCACGUGCAGAACAGAGCCAGUGGCAGUCCUGUGAGCAAAACCAGCAGUGCUGUUCACUGUGGUCCUGGAUUUUUAACUAAGAGGCAGAGCUGGCAGUGAGUGGCAUCAACCAUGAAAUAAAUUAGUGAAUGGUGUGCAGCUCCAAGUGCUGAUUUCAGUGGAUGUUGGUGAGUUUGGGAGCUUGGAUUCUGGCUGCUGAAUUUAAGAAUGGGUGAGAAGGUGUAGUGGGUCCAGAACGCCCGUGUUUGGUUUAACACGUGUGUUGCUCUUGGGUGUGAGCUGGUGCCUCAGUGCCAAGCUGGUACUUUCCUCCAAGAUUCACGUGGCCGCUGUGUAGGACGUUGCUGUUCUUGUUGCGGUCGACGGGAUUCUGGGCACUUUCCUGGAUUAGCGUUUCAAAAUGCUGCAUGCCUAAUGAUUGUGUGGAUCCAAAUCAUCUGAGGAGAAGAUGACCUUGUACUCCAUGGAAACACUAGUUCCAGCUAAGAAAUCCCAAAGCAGGGAACCUGCAGGUAGGAAGGCUGGCUGCAGUGAGUCCACUUCUGUGUGGACACCUCUGUGUCCAUCACAUUACAGAUGGGGAAACUGAGGCACAGAGCCAUCGUUUGUUCAGGGUCCUUCAUAGGGCCAGCAGCAACCUGAGGGCAAACCCUGCCUGGCGCAGUGCCCUCAGCCGCAUCAGCGGCUCUCAGCUGCCAGCUGCUUUGCCUGGGCUGCCUCCUGUCCGCACGGAUGUGAUGCUGAGCACAAGGGUGACUGGUUGAUUUGAAACUCACCAUGGUUCUGAGACCAGGUUUGGUUGAUCUGAGUGGUAAUGCAAGCUGAAAGCUUUGCACGUCUCUAACCAAGCUAAUGCCUGUCUUUGUCCUCACAGGGGCUGUGUCAUUGGACCAGCUUUUCCUUUUGAUGUACCUUCUCUCCACUUUGGUGACGUCUCGUUUGGUGAGUGCACCCUGGGUUGGGACCUUGAGUGGAGAGGUCUGUGUGUGGCCAAUGUGGAGCGCUGCAGCAUGAGAACACGCGUCACUUGUGUUCCUCCGCAGCGGCCUUUGGGGUGUUAGACCAGGGCUGCUGGUUGCUUAGGCAGCAUUCGGCCACCAUGAGGUCAAAUGGGAGCAAAGGAAUAGGAAAUGAGUGUGUCCUGGUGUCCCUCAUAGUCUGUCCAGCCCCAGCCUCCUGAUCCUUGGCAGCAGAAUGACUGUGAAAGUCCACGUCCCAGAAGGGCCCAGGGUAUGGGACUGCAGGAGAAGGGAAUUUGCGCUACAUAGGAGGCUGUAGCUGCUCUGGGUGAAUGUUCCUGAUGCCACAGUUUCCCACCUGACCUUUAUCGUGUGAUAUCACGUAGCACUACAAGGGCACCUUGUUAUCUCCAACCAGCGAAUAUGCCCAAACGUUGGAUCUUCAUCAGGCACUGAUGGUCUUGGAGAUGUGGGCUCCAUCCCUGAUGAAAGGCCAGCUCUGCUGACAGAGCCCGUGGCUGAGCAACCAGAGCUUCUCCAUUGAAAUGCAGACUCUGGUUUUGCAUCUCGGUCUCAGAAAAGGUUUUCUACUGAGAUGUUCUCCGGUUUAAGUGCAAAAUCACUUGUGGAUUGAUUGAAGGGCCGUUCUCAUUCUGUGCUCAGGGUGCCUCUGUUCACAGACCUUCUAACAAAACUCACUGCGUUUCUGAGCCACUUCCUCCCCUCCCUACAUCCUCACACUGGCACUUCUUUGUUUCCUUUUGAGAAAAUGAAACAGUAAGAAAUGCACCGGGCAGAAAUAUGGUUAUGUAAUAGGAGACUGGCGCUACUAAAUCUGAUUUCAUUGACAAGGUCUUUGCAGCUGAAGGCAGCUGUUGGCUGUGCUGAUAACUGCUGUCCGUGUCUGGAGACUUGGGUCCCGUUCGGGGCUGUGAGGUCUGGGUUUGUCCUUUUUGUGUCCCCCGCCUCCCUGCUGGCGUCACUGUCGAUGGCUCAGAUGAGCUCCGUGCUGUGUGUGCAGCUGGUUUCCCUCCCCGCUGCGUUCCAGUGGCACUUGGUCAGCAGCCGUGGGAGAGGACUCCUUCUCGCAGAGCUGCCAGCCAGGCCAGAUGGCCGCUCCAGAGCAGGCUGUGGCCGCUGUCCUGUCUCUGCAGAGCGGCCCGGCCGGGUCUGGCUGUGUCACGUGCAGAAUGGAAAGCUGAUACCUUUGCGGGCAAUAACCAAAGCCAGUGUGCAGCGUGGAUGCCGUGUCCCCAUUUGGUAGGUCAGGUGAGGCACAGCUCUUGCAAAUUCCUAAGCCAGCACCAGGCUUGCCUCCUGUGGAGCGACCUGCAAGUUGUCCCAUGCUCAGCCUGGUUGACCCAAACCAGAGAUGCCCUAACACACCCAACAGUGUGGUCGGGUAGGCAGCCCAGCAUUGCAAGCCUGCCUCAUUCCCUGGGGCUCAGGGAGGGAGCUGAGCAUGGCCUCCGGCUGGAGAGAGAGCCCUGGGGAUGGGGGAAGUGAGGCUGCGUCUUCCCCCACCACAGCUCUGCUGGAAGGCUUCGACAUCUGAGAGAGCACAGCUUCAUAGAGGAGCACAUUGACCGGCAGGUGUCCCCCAUCGAGAGCUUGCGCCUGAUGUGCCUCCUCUCCAUCACGGAGAACGGUCUCAUCCCCAAAGAUUACCGGUCCCUGAAAACCCAAUACCUGCAGAGCUACGGGCCUGAGCACUUGUUGACCUUCCACAACCUCAAGCGCAUCGGGCUGCUGACCGAGCAGUCGGCCGCAGAGACGCUGACCGCUGUGGAGAGCAGAGUCAGCAAGCUGGUGACAGACCGUGCUGCCGCUGAGAGCCAGCCCUCUGCCCCUGGGGAGCUGGGAGCACAGCCCUGCCCUGCUGGGAGCUGCUGCUCCAGAGCCGGAUGGAAGCACGCAGCAAAAGUGGACACUGCGGGCACAGAGCUACGAGCAGGGCAGAGCUUUGGCCCAUGGGAGCAGCAGGGCUGGCAGGUGCUGCUGCUGGUUCUCUUCUGGAGCCCGGAACUCUGUGCGUCCCUCUGCCCAGCUGUGACUAAUCCUGAGGCUCUGAGCUGUUUCUUCUCCUCUUGUUUUCCAGGAAAGAUCACAGAUGCAUUUAAUUCUUUGGCCAGAAAGAGCAAUUUUCCAGCUAGAAGCAAGAAGCUGGGGUUGGUAUGUCCUUGUGGAGCUGCUGCCUUGCCCACGUGCCCGCUGGUGCCAGAGCAGCUCUGGUCACUCUGUGCAGGCUGGGCACCCUCAGAGACACCCACGGCACAGGGCCAGAGCUGCUGUGGCAGUGGGGUGGCAGAGGGAUACGAGGGAGCAGAGGGGUUCAAGAAUGGCAGAGAGGUUCCAGAAUGGUAAAGGGCUUUGGGAAUGGCAAAGGGGUUCAGGGGUGCCAGAGGGGUUUGGGAAUGGCAAAGGGGUUCAGGGGUGGCAGAGGGGUUUGGGAAGGGCAAGGCGGUUCAGGGGUGGAAGAAAGAUUCCAGAAUGCCAGAGGGGCUCAGGAAUUGCAGAGGGGUUUGGGGGUGCCAGAGGGAGUCAGGGGUGGCAGGAAGGUUCAGGAAUGCUUGAGGGAUUCUGGGAUGCCAGAGGGGUUUGGGGGUGGCACAGGGGUUUGGGGAUGGCAGACAGGUUCCAGGGAUGAUAGUUAGCCUUAAAGAUAGCCCUGCCAUGGACAGGGACACCUACCACAAGAGUCCCACAGCUCUGCCCCACGGUGCUGUGGGGCUGAGUCCCACAGCUCUGCCUGAUGGUUCUGCCUCAUGGUGUUGUGGGGCUGUGUCCCGUGGCUCUCCCCCAGGGUUCAAGUUCAUCUUCCUGACCACGGCCAUCACCAACAGCGCCCGGAUGAUGGAGGCCAUGAUCGAGGCCAAGGCCUGAGGCUGCCAAUAAACAGCUCCCCUGUACCGCUCUGGCUCCGGCUCCAGCUCUGCCUUAGGGGUCAUAGAAUCCUGGAAUGGUGUAGGUAGGAAGGGAGCUCAAAGCCCAUCAGGGUUCGGCAAGCCCCAUCCAGCCUGGCCUAGAGCACCUCCAACACGAUUUAUUUGAAGAUGAUGGCUUAAAUGGCCUUCAUGGCACAGAAAUGCUCCUAUUGUUCAAGCGGUUGCCCUUUGCUCUUCCACCAGUCUCUUUUUAAGGCAAAUGGCUUCAGUUUAGCGAAAACAAUCGUGCUUUGAGGAACACGGCGACCUGUGUCACCCGUUAAAUGAGAUGAAAGGUGGAAAGAUGGAAUGGCUUGGGUUGGAAGGGACCUUUAAGGCCAUCCAGUGCCACCCCCUGCCUUGGGCAGGGACACUGGAUCCUGUUGCUCCAAGCCCCAUCCAACCUGGCCUUGAACACCUCCGGGGAUGGGGCAGCCAUGGCCCCCCUGGGCAACCUGGGCCAGGGCCUCCCCGCCCUCACGGUGAAGAAUUUCUCCCUAAUGUCUGAUGUAAAUCUUCCCCGUUCACUUUCAAGCCGUUCCCCGCGUAGUGCCGGGUGUCCCGGGACGGUGGGUCCUGCGGGAGAGGCGGGAGGACCGGGGUCCCCUGGGCCAAUGGAGAGAGGGGCGUCCCCGGGUGACCCCUCCCACCCCGCGGCGAAGGAGGAGGGACAUCCCGCGGUGCCCCCUCCACCCCGCGCGCACGGCGCAUGCGCAGCGCGGCCCGAGCGGAGCGGGCGGGAGGCCGAGCCCUUGGUCACUCUGGCGUGCGAUUGGCCGGGCGGGGCGCUAGGGGGCGCUGCCAUUGGCCCGCGCGGCGGUUGAGGCGGGGCCAGCGGUGAGGCGGCCGCAGUCGGCGGACAGUCGGCGUCGGCGGUGGGCGGUUUGGAUCGCAGCGGCGAGCGCGGAGUGUGGCGGAGCCAUGCGGAGGAGCGACGUGGUGGCGGCUGAGGCCGUGUCAGUCCUGAACGGAGCCAUGGCGGCUCUGCGGGACAUCUGGGAGGAGAUCGGCAUCCCCGAGGAGAUGCGCUUGGAGCGUAUGGAGACUGUCAAGGGGCACAUCAAGGAAAUGUUGGACUUGAUGGUUGCAGAGGAGGAGAGUCUGAAGCAGCGUCUCUUGAAGAACAUUGCCCUGUUUCAGAAGGAGAUUGAUAGACUCUGCAUGGAGCUCCAGUUGGACCCCUUUGAGGGAGAGAAGGAAAAUACCAUUCUGCAGCUGGAUAAGAAUUUGCGCAACCGUAUGGACGUGUUGCUGCAGCAGAAAGCAGAGAGGAUGCGCGAGCUGAAAACGCUGCUAGAACAAGAUCAAGACUUGUGCGACCUCCUCUGCACAAGCCCAUUCUGCAUUGAUGGCAAUGCCGUGCCCAGCCUGGACGACCUGGAUCGUUACAGGCAGCACUUGGCCUUCCUGAACGCUGAGAAGGAGCAAAGGCAAGAAGAGUUUGUCAGCAGUAAGCGGCAAAUCAUCCUCCUCAUGGAGGAGCUGGACCACACUCCAGACACCAGCUUUGAACAGGAGGUGGUGUGUGAAGAUGAGGAAGCGUUCUGCUUGUCCAGGGACAAUAUUACUGCCCUCCAGGAUCUCCUGAAGCAGCUGGAAGCCCAGAGAUCGCAGAAUGAAGCUGUGUGUGAAGAGCUGCGCUCCAGGAUCAUUGCACUUUGGGACAGGCUGCAAGUUCCUGUGGAGGAGAGGGAGGCUUCAGCAGUGCACAUGGCUGGGUGCGGAGCCAAAACCAGGAAAGCUCUGCAGUUGGAAGUGGAGAAUCUGGAGGAGCUGAAGCUGCAGAACAUGAAAGACGUGAUUCAGGCAAUCCGGGCAGAGAUGGCUGCGUACUGGGACAAGUGCUUCUACAGUCAGGAGCAGAGAGAAGGCUUCGCCCCCUAUAACGAUGAGAACUACACAGAGGCCCUGCUCGAGCUCCAUGAAGCUGAGGUGGGGAAGAUGAAGACCAUCUAUGAAACACACAAAGAUCUGUUUGAGGCCGUCCAGAAAUGGGAGGAGAACUGGAAGAUGUUCCUGGAGCUGGAGAGGAAAGCAACCGACCCCAGUCGCUUCACCAACCGUGGGGGGAAGCUGCUGAAAGAAGAGAAGCAGCGAGCAAAGCUGCAGAAGGUGCUUUCCAAGCUGCAGGAGGAGCUGGAAAGCCGGGUCCAGGCCUGGGAGCAGGAGCACGAGGGCAUGUUUCUGGUGAAGGGGCAGCAGGUGAUGGCAUAUGUGUCGGAGCAGUGGCAGCUGUACCACCUGGAGAAAGAGAAGGAGAAGCAGGAGCGGCAACUGAAGAAAAGGCGCCAGAUAGAGGCAGAGAUGUUGUAUGGCAGCACCCCGCGCACACCUAUCAAACGGCGGAUGCUCGGCACCACCACUCCUGGCAAAGCGAGGAAGCUCAAUGGCUCUUCCAUCGCCGGUGCCACUCCCAACAGCACCGUUGGUUCUGGUUUGGGGAAAUAAUCUACCACUCAGCGGUGACUCGCUUGCCACCUUCUGGAGUGGAGAAUCAGAACCGGGCCUCACAUCCUGGAGGGCUCCUGAAGCUUGAAGCUCCUCUGGCACCUCAGAGCGACAGGCAGUGAAGGAGCGGUUUGGGGCAGCGGUGCGGAACGUGGUGGCGGAGGUGACUGAGGACAAGGCGCUGCCGCGGGCUGAGCGCAAGCGGCUCCAGGUGGAGCAGGCGCCGGGCUGCAGCCCCCAGGCCAAGCUGGUGAAGCUGGCAGACGUGCUGGACAACCUGCGGGAUCUGAACCGCUGCACCCCGCAAGCCACUACCAUCCACUGCUCCAAAGGUGGAAGGUACUGAGGAGACUGGGAGCCUGCAACGGAGGCAGUUCACGCAGGCAGAGCCCGUCAGCGUGGGAAUAGAGGAGGUUUUCAACAUCCUGCCUCUGCAUGGUGUACUGCUGCCGGGUGAGAGCCAGCGGGUCAUGUUCACUUUCUUUGGCCACGCAAACAUCGUCGCCGGCGUCAUGGCUCUGUGCAGGGUGGAGGGAGGCCCCACCUACGAGGUUGCACUGAGUGGGGAGGCUUCCCUUAUCAACUCCAUCCUGGACAACGCAGAGAUUGACUACGGCCUGCAGGUACCACACACUUGUCUUGGCAGGAGUCCAAUACCAUCACCGGUGGGUUGCUGCCCACUUAGGUCUAAGGCUCUCUCCCCUCCCCAGCUACUUUGUUGGCUGUAUGGCUUGGAAGUACAACCUUUGAGUGACACAUCCUGCAUCCAGGCUGGUUUUUAGUGGCCAACCUCCCACUCCCAAAGUUGGGAAUUCCUCACCUCAAGUUGGUCAUCUCCGGAGGAAUGUGUCCCCCAAAACACUGAUCUGCUCCUAAAGUCUGAGGUUCUUUUUCAAUGCUCUUGAUUAAUCACCAAAAUAAUCCAGGGAGGAGGUUAAUUUGGGCUUCCCGGUCACUGCAGCUGGAGAGAACAUCCCUGACUAAUCCACGUUUUACUCAUUUUCGGUUAAAAUCCUCACCGGUGGCUGCUGGCUCUGUUCGUGUUGUGCUCUCUCCUUUUGCUGUCACUGCGAGCUCUCCAAAUCUUGUGUGUGGGUGCCUUUUCUGCCAUUCCUUGAUGCUGCCUGCUUUGUUUGGGCUGUUAGAGCGUGCCUUAAAGUGCAGAGGAGUUGUAUCCUCUUGGAUUUUUAUCCCUGAUCUUCGUGUGGUCGGUGUUGCUCCUCUGCGUGCUGCGGUAAAGCUCUCUGGAGAUGUGACUGUUUCCGGCUGCCUGAGUAAAGCCUCCCCUGUGGUCAGAGUCCCUUGUCGCAGGGGUUUUGGAGGUGGUGGCACUCCCCAGCCUGUCUGAGGGGCUGCAGUGCAGGGGCCUGGGCUUCCCAGGACAGCCAGCCUGCCCGCUGCAGGAGGGAGAGGGACGUGGGCAACAGCUUCUUCUUCUUCUGGGAGACUCACGGGCUCAGAGUUCUUCCUUAGCUCCUCCAUGCUUCAAAAGAGGGCAGGAAUACCGUAGCAGGAGUAGGUGGGGAGCCCAAACAAAUCAGCAGGAGUAGCCUGGCCUGCCCUCCUUGCUGGCCUGGAGGCCUUCUCUCUGUCCCUUCAUGCCCAUCUCCUGCUUCUUCUUUCCACAGCGCGAACUUUCAAAGGCUGCCAGUAGCUCCAACGUCCUGAACUCUACCAGCACCCACGGCUUCUCCUGAGGUGCUGCCUGCCCAGCCCCAGCUGCUGGUAGCUGUAGUGAGUCCUUGUUCCGGCAGAGCCUGCGCAGCUCCCCCCGCCUCCCAGGCUGCGGGGUUCACCUCUGCCUGGGUCCUGGGCACUGCUCCGGCCUGGCGCCCUGCGGGGGAGGGAGUUCCUGCCCCAGGGACACUAUUAAGAGCAAGUUUUUUUUCAUUUGUUGAGUUCUUGCCAAUGUUUGUGACUGAAG